rnacentral:piRNA from 1 species
UUAUCCUUUCCAAUUCCAAAG